GUGUGUUAGAGCCCCAAACACAACACUUCAAUGUAGUUAAGAGAUAUUUUAUAUUAGUUCUAAAUGUUCAUGUUUACUUCUAACAUAUAUAAAUGUUAAAAACUAUGGAACUUGUGUAAAGAAAGCUUGAGCUUUAUACAUUAUUAUAAAGUUAUCAAAACAUAUUCUAUUUGUUAUAUGCAAAGGGGAAAAUAUAUUGGUGGACUUAUGAAGUUUAUUUAUGUUAUGAUCUACUUUCUUUCCCUAUUUCAUGUUGCAACAAGCGCUAACCUUGAUUGUCGUAAUGACGGUGACUGUAUACAUAUUAAGUGUAAGUCUGGUUGGAUUGCGAAGUGUACUGCUACUCAUUGGUGUAACUGUAUUCCUCCAUCUGGAUCUGCACAUCCUUGGAGAACAAGACCCAAGAGAGUGCAAAAACAAAUUAUAGGGGAAAAUGAUUUAUGGCACAAGAAAAAGAUCUAUGAAACUUCGUUUAAGAUAAAAUAUACCAUAUAAUAAGUCACUUAAUACUUGUAUUUGUGUUAUGAGAGUGGAAGACUAUGUAGAUAAUAUUAAAAUUGCAACAUGAAAUAAAUAAUAGUAUCUAGAUUGUCUUCCACUCUUAAUUUUUUCGAUUGUAACUAAAAAUAUGCUAUUUUAUUUACUUUCUAUGAUUGUAGGAUGAUGAAUAAUUUGGCAAAUAUUGUAUCAAAAUACUUUAAGUAAUAAAAAAAUAUGUAUUCACGGGA